UCCCCAAUAGCUCAGUUGGUAGAGAAUCUGCCUGCAAUGCAGGGGACCCCCAUUCGAUUUCUGGGUUGGGAAG
rnacentral:tRNA from 1 species